UACAGAGGUGCCAAGCGUUAGGCGGAAUCACUGGGCUUAAAGCGCGUGUAGGCGGGUCGUUAAGUGUCCGAGUGAAAUCCCACGGCUCAACCGUGGAACUGCCGGGCAUACUGGCGAUCUUGAGGCAUUCAGGGGCGAGCGGAACAAAUGGUGGAGCGGUGAAAUGCGUAGAUAUCAUUUGGAACGCCAAUGGUGAAAACAGCUCGCUGGGAAUGAUCUGACGCUGAGACGCGAAAGCCAGGGGAGCGAACGGGG
rnacentral:rRNA from 1 species